rnacentral:rRNA from 1 species
UACGUAGGGGUGCGAGCGUUGUCCGGAAUUAUUGGGCGUAAAGGAGCUUGUAGGCGGUUCUGUCGGCGUCUGCUGUGAAAAUCCGGGGCUCAACCCGGACUUGCAGUGGGUACGGGCAGACUAGAGUGUGGUAGGGGAGGACUGGAAUUCCUGGUGUAGCGGUGGAAUGCGCAGAUAUCAGGAGGAACACCGAUGGCGAAGGCAGGUCUCUGGGCCACUACUGACGCUGAGGCGACGAAAGCGUGGGGAGCAAACAGG